rnacentral:rRNA from 1 species
AUGGGAACGCGAAGAACCUUACCUACUCUUGACAUCCAGAGAACUUUCCAGAGAUGGAUUGGUGCCUUCGGGAACUCUGAGACAGGUGCUGCAUGGCUGUCGUCAGCUCGUGUUGUGAAAUGUUGGGUUAAGUCCCGCAACGAGCGCAACCCUUAUCCUUUGUUGCCAGCGGUUCGGCCGGGAACUCAAAGGAGACUGCCAGUGAUAAACUGGAGGAAGGUGGGGAUGACGUCAAGUCAUCAUGGCCCUUACGAGUAGGGCUACACACGUGCUACAAUGGCACAUACAAAGAGAAGCGACCUCGCGAGAGCAAGCGGACCUCAUAAAGUGCGUCGUAGUCCGGAUUGGAGUCUGCAACUCGACUCCAUGAAGUCGGAAUCGCUAGUAAUCAUAGAUCAGAAUGCUACGGUGAAUACGUUCCCGGGUCUUGUACACACCG